rnacentral:rRNA from 1 species
GACGAACGCUGGCGGCGUGCCUAAUACAUGCAAGUAGGACGAGUUGCGAACGGGUGAGUAAUGUCUGGGAAACUGCCUGACGGCGGGGGAUAACUACUGGAAACGGUAGCUAAUACCGCCUACCAUCGGAUGUGCCCAGAUGGGAUUCGCUAGUAGGUGGGGUAAAGGCUCACCUAGCCGACGAUCCCUAGCUGGUCUGAGAGGAGGAUCAGCCAAACUGGGACUGAGACACGGUCCAGACGCCUACGGUAGGCAGCAGUGGGGAAUAUUGGACAAUGGGCGAAAGCCGUAUGCAGCCAUGCCGCGUGUAUGAAGAAGGCCUUCGGGUUGUAAAGUACUUUCAGCGGGGAGGCGUUACCCGCAGAAUAAGCACCGGCUAACUCCGUGCCAGCAGCCGCGGUAAUAC